UAAAGAGGGGGUGCCUAUAAUGCAAGUCGAGCGCGGGAAGCGAGUGGAUCCCUUCGGGGUGAAGCUCGUGGAACGAGCGGCGGACGGGUGAGUAACACGUGGGCAACCUGCCUGUAAGAUCGGAAUAACCCCGGGAAACCGGGGCUAAUGCCGGGUAAUACUUUCUUUCGCAUGAAGGAAAGUUGAAAGAUGGCUUCUCGCUAUCACUUACAGAUGGGCCCGCGGCGCAUUAGCUAGUUGGUGAGGUAACGGCUCACCAAGGCGACGAUGCGUAGCCGACCUGAGAGGGUGAUCGGCCACACUGGGACUGAGACACGGCCCAGACUCCUACGGGAGGCAGCAGUAGGGAAUCUUCCGCAAUGGACGAAAGUCUGACGGAGCAACGCCGCGUGAACGAUGAAGGUCUUCGGAUCGUAAAGUUCUGUUGUUAGGGAAGAACAAGUACCGUGCGAAUAGAGCGGUACCUUGACGGUACCUAACGAGGAAGCCCCGGCUAACUACGUGCCAGCAGCCGCGGUAAUACGUAGGGGGCAAGCGUUGUCCGGAAUUAUUGGGCGUAAAGCGCGCGCAGGCGGUUCCUUAAGUCUGAUGUGAAAGCCCACGGCUCAACCGUGGAGGGUCAUUGGAAACUGGGGAACUUGAGGACAGAAGAGGAGAGUGGAAUUCCACGUGUAGCGGUGAAAUGCGUAGAUAUGUGGAGGAACACCAGUGGCGAAGGCGACUCUCUGGUCUGUUUCUGACGCUGAGGUGCGAAAGCGUGGGUAGCAAACAGGAUUAGAUACCCUGGUAGUCCACGCCGU
rnacentral:rRNA from 1 species